rnacentral:lncRNA from 1 species
AUCUUCAAUUCGCGUGUAUUUUCCAGUGAAGAAUUCCCUUUACCUGUUGAACAAGAUGAGGGCCCAAAAUCUUCUCUUAGCAAUCGUAGCAAUAUUUUUUGUUCUAACCAUUAAACCCUACGAAGCUGCAAGAAUUCUUGAUAAAGAACAACAAGAAUUGAUGAAAAUGGGACAUCUAGUGUUACCAUCCUUGAAGACCGUUAACCCGCCUUCGCCAAAUGGAUGCACGUGGGUGGGUGGCAGUGGUGGCAGGCAUUGCCAGAGCUCUAUCAGCGAGAAGAAUUUUGCAGGGCGUAGUGUGGCGGCGCCUCCACCACCACCAUCACUUGGAGCCAAUGAUGCCUAUCCCGAGCAAAUAGUUCAGUUUGGAAUGGCUACUAAUAGUAAAUAAAGAUGCUUUAUUACCAAUAUAGAAGUGACAAUAUUUAUAUUAACAGUGGACUGUACCAUAAUAAAGAAG